AGAACGAACGCUGGCGGCAUGCCUAAUACAUGCAAGUCGAACGAACUCUUCGGAGUUAGUGGCGCACGGGUGCGUAACGCGUGGGAAUCUGCCCUUGGGUUCGGAAUAACAGUUGGAAACGACUGCUAAUACCGGAUGAUGACGAAAGUCCAAAGAUUUAUCGCCCAGGGAUGAGCCCGCGUAGGAUUAGCUAGUUGG
rnacentral:rRNA from 1 species